rnacentral:lncRNA from 1 species
CGGCUUUCCUACAUCCCUGGAUUGUUGUGAGGGAAGAACUUCUCACAUAUUAAUCAAUCAAUCAAUGAGCAAGCAUUUAUUAAGCAAUUCAUCUGGCAAGCACUGUGCUGAAUGUGGAGGAUACAAGACACAAAUAUCAAACAGCGGUAUCCUUUGGGGAGAAGCAGUAACAACUGGGGUGAUCAGGGAGGGUCACGUGUUGAAGGUGACAUAGAUUCCUUGAAGUGUGAGCAAGACAUGGUGGCCGCCAUUGAGAAUUAGACCUUUGUGAAUGAGAGACAUUUCCACACGCCACAAAGGUAACUGACUUUUUCCAUUUCCAGUGAUGUGAAACUUCCUUCUUAAUGUGUCCUGGACAGGUUAGAUG